AACUUUGAUCAUAAUAGCUCUUUUGUUCUGUAGAAAUUCUACUAUUUCAUGAAUAGUUAGGUAGGGUUGUUCCAUAGGCUAUUCACACAUAAUCGUUCUUGUCAGUUCUAUCUUCACUGCUGUGAUAGGAUGGUAUAAUUCCUGUGGUGUUACUUCACAGGGUGCUGAAUAAAUCCGAAUAAAUAUUAAAUCUGCUUUGGU
rnacentral:lncRNA from 1 species